rnacentral:rRNA from 1 species
GAUGAACGCUGGCGGCGCGCCUAACACAUGCAAGUCGAACGAUUAAAGCACCUUCGGGUGUGUAUAAAGUGGCGAACGGCUGAGUAACACGUGGGCAACCUGCCCCUUUCAUUGGGAUAGCCACGGGAAACCGUGGAUAAUACCGAAUACUUCGAGACUUCCGCAUGGAAGACUCGAGAAAGCUCCGGCGGAGAGGGAUGGGCCCGCGGCCUGUUAGCUUGUUGGUGGGGUAACGGCCUACCAAGGCAAUGAUGGGUAGCUGGGUUGAGAGACCGACCAGCCAGAUUGGGACUGAGACACGGCCCAGACCCCUACGGGAGGCAGCAGUGGGGAAUCUUGCACAAUGGGCGAAAGCCUGAUGCAGCGACGCCGCGUGCGGGAUGAAGGCCUUCGGGUUGUAAACCGCUUUCAGCAGGGACGAGGCGAAAGUGACGGUACCUGCAGAAGAAGCCCCGGCUAACUACGUG